CUCCGUCACCAUUGCGGAGAGGCCCCACCCGCUCUCAUUGCCGAGCACGGAAGUCAAUCUCUCCAGCGCCGAUGGUACUGCACGGGUGACUGGGUGGGAGAGUAGGUCGCCGCCGAAU
rnacentral:rRNA from 1 species